GCAGCUAUCUUUCACAUUUCCUAUGCCCAGGUAGUGUUCUAGAGCUCCACCUACUUGAUAACAUUAACCAAGGUUUGUCAUCUGACCCACCCCUUACCAAUAGGCUUCUGUCAUUUCAAAAUCAUUGAUUUGACUUUCUGUAUAUUAUUUGAACUUUCACUUUUAGAUAGAACACAGAAUAUAGUCACACUCCAGGAUAUCUCCCAUAGAUGCCUAGAUCAAUACUACAUGAAGCCUCUGAAUGGGUUUAAAGCAACAGAACCCACAAAUAUUUAGAGUGGAAGAAAUUUCCAGCACAAGAUAUUUUAGAAGAAUUUCAUAAAAGCAUUUUUAGUUGCAAGCCCAAUUCGUUGACCUUCUCUUUC